AUUGAACGCUGGCGGCAUGCCUUACACAUGCAAGUCGAACGGUAACAGGUCUUCGGAUGCUGACGAGUGGCGAACGGGUGAGUAAUACAUCGGAACGUGCCUAGUAGUGGGGGAUAACUACUCGAAAGAGUGGCUAAUACCGCAUGAGAUCUACGGAUGAAAGCAGGGGAUCGCAAGACCUUGUGCUACUAGAGCGGCCGAUGGCGGAUUAGGUAGUUGGUGGGAUAAAAGCUUACCAAGCCGACGUUCUGUAGCUGGUCUGAGAGGACGAUCAGCCACACUGGGACUGAGACACGGCCCAGACUCCUACGGGAGGCAGCAGUGGGGAAUCUUGGACAAUGGGCGAAAGCCUGAUCCAGCAAUGCCGCGUGCAGGAUGAAGGCCUUCGGGUUGUAAACUGCUUUUGUACGGAACGAAAAGCCCCGGGUUAAUACCCUGGGGUCAUGACGGUACCGUAAGAAUAAGCACCGGCUAACUACGUGCCAGCCGCCGCGGUAA
rnacentral:rRNA from 1 species